rnacentral:rRNA from 1 species
UCGAGAAUUUUUCACAAUGGACGAAAGUCUGAUGGAGCGACGCCGCGUGGAGGAUGAAGGUUUUCGGAUUGUAAACUCCUGUCACUGCAGAACAAGGAUAUACCAGUUAACAGCCGGUGUAUUUGAUGGUAUGCGGAGAGGAAGGGACGGCUAACUCUGUGCCAGCAGCCGCGGUAAGACAGAGGUCCCGAGCGUUGUUCGGAUUCAUUGGGCGUAAAGGGUGUGUAGGAGGUCGGGUAAGUCAGGUGUGAAAUCUCAGAGCUUAACUCUGAAACUGCGCUUGAUACUGCUCGGCUAGAGGAUCGGAGGGGGUAACGGAAUUUAUGGUGUAGCAGUGAAAUGCGUAGAUAUCAUAAGGAACACCGGUGGCGAAGGCGGUUACCUGGAAGAUUCCUGACUCUGAAACACGAAAGCCAGGGGAGCAAACGGGAUUAGAUACCCCCGUAGUCC